UAAAGUCCAGUAGUGGGCUACUUCCAGGAAGAGCGAGAGUGAUGUUGCUGUUUGUGACUCGCUUUUGACACUAAUGACUAACUAAGUUCUUUUAACUGAAAUGUAAUAAUGUCGAACUGCAGGAGCCAACUACUGAAGCCGUGCGAGAGUGUUUAAGUGGGAUUUAUCUGCGGAAUUGGACAUGUUGGAUGGCGAGCUAGAGCCUGAACUAGAGUCUGAAGCUUUAUGCCUGGAACCCAACCAACCCAACUGAAUCCACCCAACCGAGCCGGGCAGAGGCGGAGCCAAUGGGCCGAUGGCGGGGCAGGGCAUGCUGCAGCCCUGCCCAAGAUGGCGGCAAGGAGGUGGAGGAUGCGGCGGAGCGGAGAGGCGGGGCUUGCCGGGAGCGACGCCGCAGACGAAAUCAAGUGCGUGGGUCGCGCACUUGGACACUAUCAACAUAUCUCCCCUGGCUGAAUAAAAGGGGAGAAGGAGGAGGGAUCGGGGCUGAAGGAAGUGGAGAGUCCGCAGCACUGCAGGAAGAAGCAAGAGCGACCAGAGAGCGAGCCACAGACAAAAACGACGACAACGGCAGCUGAAAAGCAGACCGGAACGAGCGGCGGAGGAGGAGCUGAAAAUUGACCCGACCUAGACUGAAGCUUCAUUUGAAAAAAUAAAAGAAUCAAACCUGCCCGACCAUCAUGCCCUUCCUGAGUGGUCCAUGGAAUCCAACACGACGAAAGCAAGAGACUGUCACAAUGAUAAUAAUAAUACUCAAGUUUCUUAAAGAAACUACAUUAAAUUAAAGUGCAAAUGAAAUUACAGCUUUUACCACUUUAGUCAUAUUUUUUGCACUGGAGAAAAAUCUCUCGCGUUUGUUUGAUCUCGUCAUGACUGCCACAAGUGGUGGGAAAGUGCAUCGCA